CUAAAGGGGAUGAACUUCGCCAGCGGCCCCCUUUCCCGGGGCAGUCCCUGCUCUCCCCUGCUAGAGGGGCACCCUAAUCCGUCACCCCAUCCGACUUCAGAGUGUAUUCGUUGGGUUCGGCAACUCACCACCAGCAACCAACCAAAUCUAGCGGAUCAACGGCGCAUCAACUUAGUUCCUGGUCAGCUCGCAAGUUGAUAUUAUCACGUCCUACAUCGUCCAUAUGAUGGGGGGCCACCUCCCAUUUCAACACUCCUCAAACACCCGAGGAGCCGGCAGGCGGAUUUGAACCCGGGUCGGCCGGGAGCAGAAGUCAGGCCUUACCUCUGCCAGCCGCCUGCCUAAAAUAGAUCGUCACCAGGGGUUCGCACGUGGUCCCCCAUCGUACUACUGAUCUGGCCCAAUGUUGCUUAUGUGCCCAGUGCUGAUGGGAUGGGCAGUGUUCAACAUGGAAUGCACGAUCCAUGCAUGUAUGUAUGUGCUGAUUGUGUUUUUUGGGGGAUGUCAUGGGGGCUGGGGAGGGGGGACUGCGCGGGUUUUUAAAGGUUUCGGUUUUGGGUUGAGGGGGUGUUAGGUAGGGGCCCUGCUUGGAGAGGGCUCUUGGGGUGUGUGUGUGGGGGGGGGAAGGGGCGAGAAGGGGGGAGUUCGUGUCUCGUGAUUCUGUCAUCCUCACGGCUGUUGGUUGCUACUGCUGCUGCUACUGCUACUGCUGCUGCUACUGCUACUGCUACUGCUACUGCUACUGCUACUGCUACUGCUACUGCUACUGCUACUGCUACUGCUACUGCUACUGCUACUGCUACUGCUACUGCUACUGCUACUGCUACUGCUACUGCUACUGCUACUGCUACUGCUACUGCUACUGCUACUGCUACUGCUACUGCUACUGCUACUGCUACUGCUACUGCUGCUACUGCUACUGCUACUGCUGCUGCUGCUGCUCCUCUUUCCAGGCAGCAGAUGUGGGUGUGGGAGUGAUGGGCAAGGAGGGGCGUCAGGUGGGUGAGGACCCCAGGCGCACGGGGGGUGAGGGAGGCAGCGUAGACGACCGGGCGAACUUAACUUUUCAAGGUCGUUUGCUGUCCCUUUGUGAGUUGAAGGGUUUGUUGUACCUUGUCUAUCACGCACUCUGUCAGUUUGUCACUCUGUCAGUCUGUCCGGCUGUCCGGCUGUCCUUUACCAAAUUCAUGAGAUGGUGUUUUCGCCGAACGGUCGUACACAGAUAUGCCAGGUUACAGGGGGUGCCCUCUGCGGCAACCGUACAUCUUUACCGGAUUGCCGUACCGGUACGAACGCAGGCCGUGAACAACAGUGACGUGGCAGUACCGCUGUUUCGUCAUCUAGUUCCGUUGCUGCUGGUGCACGGCCAGGUGGAUAGGCGGUUGGCGGUUGGCGGUUGAGGGCAAAAAACAAAUGUAUGACACGUUUAGUGCUCCUCCUAAAUGUCAACACACGUCGACAUUUUCAUUUUUCAUUUGUCCACGUGUCCAUGUCGAUUUUACCCUGCGAGGUCUGGACCUUGAUAGAUACACACGCGCACACAUGCACAUGCACAUGCACAUGCACAUGCACAUGCACACGCGUCUAUGCAAGGCGCUCACGGCGCAAACAUGGACGCUCACGCUUUGGCACACAUACACACAUACAUACAUACGUACAUCAUGCACACGUGCACCACGCAGCUGUGCUCGGAGCGGCUGUCCCGUCUAAUCACCUACUCCUUCUACAAGAACCUGGCGUACUGGGGAGUGCUGCUGAUGUUCCAGUUUUAUUGCGGUUUCUCCGGUAAGCGAGUGUCGUACAGCACGUACGAUGCCGUACAUAUUGUACCGGAUCUGUCAUGUCGCCAUAUGUCAUGUUGUAAAGUGCGUGUAAUGAGGGAACGAUGCAGCGGUGGCACUACCUACCGUGGUCCGAGAGCUCCUGGAAAGCUCGAGAAGCUUGCCUGCCUGAAAUAUAACUUCAGGCAGGCGGGCAGGCAACAUAAUUUAGCUUACAUUUAGCUUGGGCAAAAACAUCACAGCUUAGUUUUGUUGGUAAAUAACACUACAGGUGUGGUGAUUGCGGUAUGGUAGCUGGGGUAAAUGUACGGGCCGUCGUGUUCAACAGAUGUUCAACCAUUGAGAUGGUGGUUAAGAACCAACCGCUUCCCAACCGAAUGACUUACCCAACCACCACAUCUCAGGACAGGCGCUAAUCGACGAUAUCAGCGGCUCCUUCUACAACGUGGUCUUCACAGCUUUUCCCAUCCUAGUCGUGGCGCUACAGGUACGACAGUACAGUACGGUAUGGUACGGCAGAAGAGUAGUGGCUGUCGUGCACACUGAGCGCUGCACGAGCAGCUCUUCCGCCUUGCAAAUUUAAACGGAACUUGGUUCCAUCAUCACAGUUUUUGCAUCACAGUCAAUUUACAAUCUUUUCUUCCAAUUCUGGUUCAGCACACGUCCACCUGUGUAUCGAUUGGUAACCUCUAGCUUUCCCAAAAGUGCCGUACCUGCCGUACUCACUGUACUGAUGUGCAGGAGAGCCACGCACCUGACCCCUCAGUCACUCUUAUGCAGCACCCCGAGCUCUACAACGCGCAUCCCCCGCUCACCCCAAUGCGGUUCUGGCUGGAAGGGAUCAUGUUGCCACUUUUCCACGUGAGCGCGGCUAGUGUGUGGGUACUGUUGGCCUGGCAGCUGUGCGACUUUGAUAUAACUUGCCUUGUGUCAAUGUGACCCGUGGGUCGGUUCGGAGAGAGACGUGGCCUUACUGAGCCUGAUGGGCCUGAUGGUUGCCACUUCGAAGCGUGACACUCAGCGUGAAUUGGCUGAGUGUGAGCCGUGGGACCCAUGGGUCAGUGGACAUGUGGUGAGCUCAGCUUGACGAGGAGGUCAAAUGAACCAAUUCUUCCUUAAAGAAAACACACAGGGCACCCCCGAGAUGUGCCACAAUGACCCCUCCCUGUUACCGCCAUGCCCGGUUCUGGCAGAGCGCCGCCUGCUUCUUCAUCCCCAUGUACAGCGCCACGCCGUACGGCACUCAGCCCGCACACGUGCUCUGGGUGGUCGGCAAGGCGUCGUACAUGGCGGUAGUUGUGGCGGUUACAGCUGAGCUGAUGCUAACGACACGGGCAUGGACGAGACUUCUUGUUGUUGUGUGUGCUCUGAGCGUGGUGGUGGCGUUCCCCUUUUUGCUGCUGGUAAGGAGUUCAGGUCCGAUAAUAAUAAUAAUUUGCUGUUGCUGCUACUGCUGCUGUUGCUGCUGCUACUGCUGCUUCAGAUGCUACUGCACCUGUUGUUGUUGUUACAGGGUGGUACAGCUUCACCAGCGGCCGCCUUCCCGAGGCAGUUCCCUGCUCUCCCCUGCUAGAGGGGCACCCUAAUCCAUUCACCCCAUCCGACUUCAGAAUGUUUUCGUUGGGUUCGGCAACUCACCACCAGCAACCAACCAAAUCUAGGGGAUCAACGGCGCCUUAACUUAGUUCCUGGUCAGCUCGCAAGUUGGUAUAAUCGAGUCCUACACCGUCCACAAGAUGGGGGGCCACGUCCCAUUUCAUC
rnacentral:lncRNA from 1 species